AGAGUUUGAUCCUGGCUCAGGAUGAACGCUAGCGGCAGGCUUAACACAUGCAAGUCGAGGGGCAGCGCGGGGCGGCAACGUCCUGGCGGCGACCGGCGGAAGGGUGCGUAACGCGUGAGCGACAUGCCCGUUGCCCGGGGACAACCGGUGGAAACGCCGACUAAUCCCCGAUGGGAUACGAUGCUUCAUGGCAUUGUAUUGAAAGUUACGGCGGCGACGGAUUGGCUCGCGUCCGAUUAGCUUGUUGGCGGGGUAACGGCCCACCAAGGCUGCGAUCGGUAGGGGUUCUGAGAGGAAGGCCCCCCACAAUGGGACUGAGACACGGCCCAUACUCCUACGGGAGGCAGCAGUGAGGAAUAUUGGUCAAUGGGCGGAAGCCUGAACCAGCCAUGCCGCGUGCGGGAAGGAGGCCCUAUGGGCUGUGAACCGCUUUUGCCUGGGGGCAAUAAGGGCGUCGCGCACGUCCGAUGAGAGUACCAGGCCAAUAAGCAUCGGCUAACUCCGUGCCAGCAGCCGCGGUAAUACGGGGGAUGCGAGCGUUAUCCGGAUUCAUUGGGUUUAAAGGGUGCGUAGGCUGUGCGUCAAGUCGGGGGUGAAAUUCCGGUGCUCAACACCGGGGCUGCCCUUGAUACUGUCGCGCUGGAGUGCGGAUGCCGCCGGAGGAAUGAGUGGUGUAGCGGUGAAAUGCUUAGAUAUCACUCAGAACACCGAUUGCGAAGGCAUCUGGCGAAUCCGUAACUGACGCUGAGGCACGAAAGCGUGGGGAUAGAACAGGAUUAGAUACCCUGGUAUUCCACGCCGUAAACGAUGAUGGCUAACCGCCGGCGACAGACUGUCGGU
rnacentral:rRNA from 1 species